rnacentral:RNase_P_RNA from 1 species
CCUGCAGGCCGGGUGACCGCGAGUCGUUCGCGGCUCGAGGAAAGUCCGGACACCGUAGGGCAGGACGCUGGGGAAACCCCAGGCGGCGAAAGCCGACGGAAAGUGGCACAGAAAGGAGACCGCCAGCAGCGAUUCUCCGGAGACGCUGAAGGUAAGGGUGAAAAGGUGGGGUAAGAGCCCACCAGCGCCGUGGUGACACGGCGGCUCGCCAAACCCCGUCCGGUGCAAGGCGAAGCAGGUUCCGACGACGCAGCCCGCCGAGGAACCGGGUACGCCGCUAGAGCGGCCGGGCAACCGGCCGCCGAGAGGGAUGGUCACCCUCGACAGAAUCCGGCUUACAGGCCUGCUACGGAA